AACUCAACUCUGAAUAUUGUUUUAAGCACAGAAUUGGGGGGAGCUACUUGACUCCGAACUCUCAGCUGAAUUUUUAAAACAAGUCAUUUCAUGAACAUACUUCAUUACUUAUAAAAGGUGCAAAGGUGCAAAAAUGUAAUAAGCAAUAACCUUGUAAAAUAAUGUAAAGAAUCCAGCCAGAAAUUAUUUUCCCUCAGAUGUGUAAGCAAUUUAAGUAAUAUAAAUAAGUGUACCUUUACUCCUGUAAUGUGACACCAAUGAGGAAACAGUGACUUGUCUAAGGAUACAUGGGUGAAUUCUUUAUUAAUUCAAAACAUUUAAAAAAAGUCAGUGUGUAAUGCAUGUGUGUUUUACAGUAAUAUCCAUGGGUGUCCACAGUGUAGUCAAAUGAAAACAGCUGUAGUUUGAUUUACUUUGAAAAGUCAAAGAUCUAUACCGUUUGAGAUUUCUGAAUUUUCUUACAUUAUUGUCAUGCUCAACUUCUAUUAUAUGUUGAAAAUUCUAGCAUUUUCAGGAAGUCUUAUUGUACAUA
rnacentral:lncRNA from 1 species